rnacentral:rRNA from 1 species
CACGUAGGGACCAAGCGUUGUCCGGAUUUUAUUUGGGCGUAAAGCGCUCGUAGGCGGUUUCGGUAAGUCGGGUGUGAAACCUCCAGGCUCAACCUGGUGACGCCACCCGAUACUGCCGUGACUUGAGUUCGGUAGGGGAGCGGGGAAUUCCUGGUGUAGCGGUGAAAUGCGCAGAUAUCAGGAGGAACACCGGUGGCGAAGGCGCCGCUCUGGGCCGAAACUGACGCUGAGGAGCGAAAGCGUGGGGAGCGAACAGG